rnacentral:rRNA from 1 species
CGCGCUAUCUGCAGUCGAGGGGCAGCACAGGUAGUAAUACUGGGUGGCGACCGGCAAACGGGUGCGGAACACGUACGUAACCUUCCUCUAAAUGGAGCAUAGCCCGAAGAAAUUCGGAUUAAUACUCCAUAAGAUUGUAGAGUGGCAUCACUCAGCAAUUAAAGAAAUUCGUUUAGAGAUGGGCGUGCGGCUGAUUAGGUAGUUGGUGAGGUAACGGCUCACCAAGCCGACGAUCAGUAACUGGCGUGAGAGCGCGACCAGUCACACGGGCACUGAGACACGGGCCCGACUCCUACGGGAGGCAGCAGUAAGGAAUAUUGGUCAAUGGACGCAAGUCUGAACCAGCCAUGCCGCGUGAAGGAUGAAGGUCCUCUGGAUUGUAAACUCCUUUUAUAUGGGAAGAAACCACUUUUAUCUAAAGGUGUUGACGGUACCAUAGGAAUAAGCACCGGCUAACUCCGUGCCAGCAGCCGCGGUAAUACGGAGGGUGCAAGCGUUAUCCGGAUUCACUGGGUUUAAAGGGUGCGUAGGCGGAUUAGUAAGUCCGUGGUGAAAUCUCCGAGCUUAACUCGGAGACUGCCGUGGAUACUAUUAAUCUUGAAUGUUGUGGAGGUUAGCGGAAUAUGUCAUGUAGCGGUGAAAUGCUUAGAUAUGACAUAGAACACCAAUUGCGAAGGCAGCUGGCUACACAAAUAUUGACGCUGAGGCACGAAAGCGUGGGGAUCAAACAGGAUUAGAUACCCUGGUAGUCCACGCCCUAAACGAUGAUUACUCGACAUUUGCGAUAUACAGUAAGUGUCUGAGCGAAAGCAUUAAGUAAUCCACCUGGGAAGUACGACCGCAAGGUUGA